AGCCGCCGCCCGGAGCCCGUGCGCUCAGCCCGGGUGUUCGGGUCCUUGCGGGCCGGAGAAGCGGCCCCCGCCCCGCCCUCGCCCUCCGCCUCCCGCCCUCCGCCUCCCGCCUCCCGCCUCCCGCCUCCCGCCUCCCGCCUCCGGCCUCCCGCCUCCCGCCUCCCGCGGCGGCGCCGGGGCCCCGAGGCCGAAGCGCGGUCGGAGCGCGCGCGGGAGCCGAGACGCCGGGACCUGCGCCGCCGGAGCGGGCCCGCCGGAUCCCCAGCGGCUUCCGGCCCCGGGGAGACGCGCCGGAGUGAUCGCGACCGGCAAGCCCGACGCCCUCCGCCCGGCCUCGGAGAGAGACACCGAAGGGGACCGGUGCUGUCGGCCAGGCUGGCUGAGCCAAAGGAGCCCAGACGGGAGAAGAGUGAGUCUGAAUUCACCAUAAUUGCCAUGUGACCCUGAGUGAGAGGUACAACUGUAUGGCCCAUGCCAGACACACAAGCCCCCAGUGCCCGAGGAGCUCUGUGAUGGUCCAGGCCAGUGUUCCCAGCCUGCAGGCCCCCUCGCUCAAGGAAGGCAUCUGGAAACCACGUGGCACACAGUGCUGUCUGUAAAGAGGACAGACAAUGUGUCACACACAGUAUGAAGGCUUUCCAAACGGACUUUGAUGCUGCCGUGACACCUGCAUUUUAAAGCUUUGCAUCAGUGGAUUCUGAAAGCAUAAUCGCUAUUAUAUAGAGGCACUGAGAGGUAUUUUGAAUCCCAAUUCUUAAACUAUUGCUUUAGUCCACAGUAUGCCUUCUCUACACUUUUGGAUAUUAAGGUCCAGAGGAGAGAUGCACCAAAAGUCCCAGAACAGGUCAGUGCAAAGCCAGAAAUGAAGCCUAGGACCCUGACUGGUCCCCCUGCCCCCACCCCCAGCUCCUCUGCACUUAUUCAAGUGUUUAUUAAGCACCUGCCUUGUGGUGGGCUCUAUGCCAGGCACCAGGAGACAAUGAUGACAACCCAGUGCUCUCCUCGCAGGGGCUGACGUCUGGGAGGUGAGUAGGCAUGAGGCAAGGAGAGGACACAGUGAACAGAGAUUUGGUCAGACUCCCUAAAGAAGCCAAUGAAGGACUGGAAUCAGGAAAUGAUGUGAUUGGGUGCCUGGGUUCAGUGGCUGCCUUUGGCUAAGGUCAUUAUCCUGGAGUCCCAGGAUUGAGCCCCACAUCAAGCCCCCCAUCUACCCCUGCAUUGGGCUCCCUGCUCAAUGGGGAGUCUGUUUCUCCCUCUGCCUCUUGUCCUGUUUAUGCCUCCUCUGUCUCUCUCUCUUCAAAUAAAUGAAUAAAAUAUUUUAAAAAAGAAAAAAGG
rnacentral:lncRNA from 12 species